UACAGAGGUCCCAAGCGUUGUUCGGAUUCACUGGGCGUAAAGGGUGCGUAGGUGGUGAGGUAAGUCGGAUGUGAAAUCUUCAGGCUCAACCUGGAAAUGGCAUCGGAAACUACCUUACUCGAGGUUUGGAGGGGGGGCUGGAAUACUUGGUGUAGCAGUGAAAUGCGUAGAUAUCAAGUGGAACACCAGUGGCGAAGGCGAGUCCCUGGACAAAACCUGACACUGAGGCACGAAAGCUAGGGGAGCAAACAGG
rnacentral:rRNA from 1 species